rnacentral:rRNA from 1 species
GAAUUGACGGGGGCCCGCACAAGCAGUGGAGUAUGUGGUUUAAUUCGAAGCAACGCGAAGAACCUUACCAGGGCUUGACAUACCGAUGACCGGGUUAGAGAUAACCCUUCCCUUCGGGGCAUUGGAUACAGGUGGUGCAUGGUUGUCGUCAGCUCGUGUCGUGAGAUGUUGGGUUAAGUCCCGCAACGAGCGCAACCCCUGUUGUUAGUUGCCAUCAUUUAGUUGGGCACUCUAGCAAGACUGCCGGUGACAAAUCGGAGGAAGGUGGGGAUGACGUCAAAUCAUCAUGCCCCUUAUGUCCUGGGCUACACACGUACUACAAUGGCGACUACAGAGGGCAGCGAGACCGUGAGGUGGAGCAAAUCCCCAAAAGUCGUCCCAGUUCGGAUUGCAGGCUGCAACCCGCCUGCAUGAAGUCGGAAUUGCUAGUAAUGGCAGGUCAGCAUACUGCCGUGAAUACGUUCCCGGGCCUUGUACACACCG